AUUUUAAGUUAUUUACAUCGGCCCUGUUCGUUUCUCUGUCGCUGGAUCCAGCGACCAGCGACAGCAACCAGCGACUACAUACAUUGUUCGUUUAUCUGUCGCUGGACUCAGCGACCAAUUACAGCGACAAUCGCUAAUAAUUGUCGCUGUGUUGUUCGUUUGACUGUCGCUAUAAACAGUCGCUAUAUAUUUUUUUAAAAAUAAUUAUUUUGGUGCUAAUUUAUAUUUUAAAAUCAAAAUGUAAAUCAUAUAUAUCCUACACCAUGAGAAAAAUAAAUUAAUAUAUUUAUUUAUUUUAGUUUUAUCAAAUUUAAUUUGACUAUAAUUAGUUUAUGUUAUUUGAAUUUAAUUUAUUUUAACUUA
rnacentral:sRNA from 1 species